rnacentral:lncRNA from 1 species
ACCUCCUUAUUGACAAUAAUGUCCAAAUCUACUUAUCGAUAAGCAUGACCGAAUUUCCUUAUUGACAAUUAUGUCCGAAUCUCUUUAUUGUAAAUCAUGACCGAAUUUCGUAGUUGACAAUCAUGACCGACCUCAUUAUUCACAAUUAUGUCCAAAUUUCCUUAUUAAUAAUCAUGACCAAAUUUCCUUAUCCCUGUGUUAUCAACAAUCAUGUCCGAAUCUCCUUAUUGAUAAUCAUCAACUUAUUUAAUGCGUAUUGAUUUUUUUUUCUUAUUUUCACACUGUCUAACAUAUUCAUAUACGUAAAACCAACAUUUUCUUUAUCUUCCUUAUUGAGAAUCGAGAUCGAAUCUUCUUAUUGCCAAUCCGGACCGAAUUUCCCUAUUAACAAACAUGACUGAAUUUCCUUAUUGACAAUCAUGUUCAAAUCUCCUUAUUGAUAAUCAUCCCGAAUCUCCUUAUUCACAAUCAUGAUCAAAUCUCCUUAUUGACAGUCGGGACCGAAUCUCCUUAUUGACAAGCAUGUCCAAAUCUCCUUAUUGACCAUUAUGUCUAAUGUCAUUAUUGAUUAUCAUUCCGAAUC